UAAGUUUUUCUUUGCCUUGUAGAAGGAACAUGAUGCGAGUGUCUUUGGUGUUGUGUCCUUCUGAGUCCACCCCAUCUCAUUGCUUCCAGCCCCAGGAAGGGAAUGGCACAGCUUUCAAUGCCAUCUGCUGAGGAGCUAACGUGGAGAGUCUGAAGCCGAACAUUGCAGGAAUUCCCACAGAAGAGAGCCAAGAUCUGCUGCACAGAGCACCAGCAGUGAGUUCCAUGUCUGCAAGGACUUCAGUCACCCUUUCUGUAGAAGCACAAGGGAAGAGUGCACCCCUCACCAUAAAAAUCAGAAAGAACCGUUCCAGAGAGAGAAGUCAUGGAAUUUGGACUGAAUUAGCUAAAUUGAGCUAGUAAUAACGAUGUAUCGUAUGUAGUGUUGCAAUUCAUAUGCCUCUACAGUGCUGAAGAUUGUCCUAAAUAAUCCUUUUAUCUUCCCGGAAGCAUCAGCUACCACAUGCCUUACAAAGAUUCUCAUUUACUAGUGUGACUUGAAGAGAUCUGAACAGUGGGAUGUAGUACUGAAGAGUCUGGAGAGCUGCGAAUGGCAGCAGCCCCAUAAGAAAAAGCUGCAACAGUCAAGAUAAAAGUAAAAGAAGAAAUGGAUAAGGAAAUAAGCAGAAGUGAAGCUGAGGCAGCAACAUUUACAGACAAAUGUUUCUUGCAUGUUUUAGUUGCCAUUCCAAAGAAAAAGCUCUUCUGAAUUAUUACUUGUGAUUGCAGCAUUUUGCAAAAUUGUUGCAAUUCCUGAUGCUUGUAGAAUGUGCUUUUAAACUCCAGGUUUGGGGGAAAGAGGAUAUUGUAGCAUAUUUAACUUGAAGACUUAUUUGAGAGACCCCUUUUGAAAUCACAGAAAGGGGGGAGGGAGGGAGGGAGACAAUCCAGACUCUCUGUCUCCAGGCAGAGGGAGGUGGAGUGGGGGAGGGAGCUGACUGACAGACUCAGGUAGACUUCCAAAAAUGUGAUUGGCUCUUCUGAAGUCUCACUGAUGGCCCAUUCAGAAAAUAAAAUCACAUGGAGCUAUUUUACUCCCCAACACAUGCAAGUUUUCCUAGGAACUACAACAUGGAACAGUUUAACAUCUGGAAGGAUUACUUGGGGCUGGCAGAAGUGGUGGAAGAGAUUCAUAAACAGCAAAGCAAAGAAGACAGCUUGCAGAUGGCUGCCACUUCUGAAGAUGAGAUGGAGAGUCCCAGGUUCAGAAGACAAGUCAUUUCCUCUGGGACCUGGACAGGAAUCACUAUCUGUGCCUUUUGCAAGCACAAUGGGGAAUCAAAACACAUCUAUACCUCUCACAAAUUGAAAGACAAGGAAGGAAGGGUGGCAUGUCCAAUCCUAAAGAACUACAUCUGCCCACAAUGCGGGGCCACACAGGAGAAUGCUCACACCAAGAGAUUCUGCCCCCUGACCAGGAAAGGAUACACAUCAGUAUACAACUGCUUCUCCAGAAAUUCAAUGGGAAAGCGCCCUGUCAGUGGCCCCAUACAGAAGAACAAGGAUGAUUCAUUACCUCUUUCAAAUAUCUCUUAACCUGAAAAGGCCUCAGUUCCUCAACUCCAUAUUCAGGUUCCCAAGGUUUUCAGGCAGCCUUCUUCAUUUUCACACUGUUACCUGGCCCCUCUCUAAGGCUAAAGCAUCAGGGAACAUAGAAACAUGGAUACUCCCUGCCUCAUCAACUUGGAAUCCUGUCAUCUUCACUCCCCCACCCACAGACCCAUCUUACAGUAACACUUUAUUUUUCUAAUAAUGGACACAUAAUUGCCUUGGCUUCCAGAUCCAGCUCAGGAAGAACAGACAGACAUUUGGCCUACACUUGAGUUUUGCUGUGGCUACGCUGGCAAAGCCUAUUAAAUGUAGAUAAGUCCUUAUACCUGGGAAGCUAAUAGUAGAUGCCCCAGUUCUUGGGCCUUUAUGUCAUUGAGUUGAAAGGAGAGAGAAAGAAUGUCAACAAAACAGUCUUGUUCUGAUGACCGUGACUAGCACUCAAGCCAUUCCUUGAUGCUCACCGAGCAGUUCAAUAGCUCUUAAAGCCUAGGUGGUCUCACACUUGAAUUGAAGGGAAAAUUGCACAUAACUGGGUAAUCAUUCACCUGUUGAUGUCAAAGUGGUGACUGAUUAAGUACUGUCUUUUCCUUGUAAAAAAUAUGCAUCUCAGCUCUCUGUGCUUUUAUUUUCAUUGACAGUUUUUUUUUUUAUAUGUUAUACAUAUAUCUUGUUACUUACCAGUUAUUUUGAAAGCUGUUAUGUUUGGUACUUUUUGGUUGCCGUUUUGUUAAAAUAUUAUUUUGUUAUUGCACUAAUAAAUAUAAAUUAUA